UUUAUUUUGCCUCAUAAGUAUGAAACAAUUGCAUUUGUAGACUGCUUCGACACGAGAAGCAAAAUUUCUGCUGAAAAUGGCUCUGUGAUUUCACACCUGUGAUUCAGAGCAAAACCUGGGAAGGACACAGAAGAAACCACACCCCAGUGUGUGUAUCCACAUUCCCACUGCAGAUGUGGCUAACGUGAUGGCUUCAUAAACAUAGAAUCAUAGAAUUGUAGGAUCAUUAAUGUUGGAAAGACCUCUAAGAUCACUAAUCCAACCAUCAGCCUACCACCAUCAUGCCCGCUGACCACAUCUCCAUGGUUCUUGAACAUCUCCAGGGAUGGAGACUCCACCACCUCUCUGGCUGGUAUUCAAUGCUCUCUGCAAGCACUUGACAGUCCUUUGCACUGCUGCCUGUAUCUGCACACUGGAGGCCAACCUGCUGCUUGAAAGAAAAUCACUCUCAGAAUCACAGUGCCAGGGGACCCUUCUCCUUAGGAACACCCUAUUCAGGAUCCUUCUGCUCCCAGUCUGUGAUUUCCAGUGCACAGGAAUACACACAGAGGAUCUGCCUCUCUUGGCCUCACUGCUCUCCAAUGCAAGCCUGCAGUUGCAGUCUGCAGUUUGGGCUCUGUUGGUAGCACUGCACUGGCUGCUGACCCUUCCAGGAAGUGCUUUCCUCCUGUACCUCCUCCCACCACCUUGCUUGCGAUCCCAAGUGCUGACCUACAGGAUACCGUGAUGAUCCAGCAUCACCUCCACUGGGGAGAAGGUUUCAGCUUCGGGUUCCCCUAAUGGUGACUAAGCUGUUCCCUCAUCCAGCCCCCAGCUGCCGGCUAAUGGAGAGGCCCUGCUGCGCCACGUGUUCCUGUAAGCCUUGGGUCAUCCCAUUUCACGGCUUCUCAGAAGGCAUCUGUCAGUGCGUCCGUUUCAUGAAGUACACAGAACGGAGAUUAAGUUGCAUUUCAGCCACCCUUUCCUUUCUUACCAAGCACUUUGCGUAGGAGUGGCAGCCCCUUUGUUAACUGAUGGGAAGAUAUGAGUUUGUGCUUCUGGUACAUCCCUACUGGGGGAACAGUCCUUCCAGAACUCCCAGCAUCUCCUCUCCACUGAGGUGCUCAGCAAUCCUUCAGCUAGAAGAGGUGGAAAGAGAAAAGGUGGGCAGGUUUGCUAGCAUACUGCUGCAAGAGAAGGAAGAAACUGAGAAAUGAAGAGCUGCAAUAACACGGGGACAUUUUUGCCAGAGGUACUAAUACCAAGAACAGCUGCCUGUCACUGAACUGCUUUUCCCUUUGCUCACUAGGACACGUUAAAUAUGCAGAAGCUGCGUCACCUCCCUUGACAGACAACUUUGGAGAUGUUUCCUGUAUGUGGGGCUGCCUAAGAGUCUGCAGACAGUUGGAGCCAGCCCGGAGCUCCCAGAAAUCACGAGGGAAGCCAGGCUGUGCAGCCACCUCCCAGGGAUAUCACAAGUCCCUGCUGGGUGCAUGCAUGGUGCCACGAGGACCUCUGUUUGUGCAGGACCAUUGCUCUGUGAGUGCUUCCCCUGCUGCUAUUGCAGCUCUCUGCAAGACCUCAUAUUUCUCAACCGAUUUCCUUCCAGCCCCACAUUUGCGAGUGCUGAGGGCUGUGGCAAUUGAGUGAUCAAGCACUCUCCCUGCCAGCAUUUUCUACCCGGGCCUCGUGCUGACCCUCAGGGUUAUCAGAAAAGCCUUUCGUCAGACGUCAGCCGGAGCAGAAAUUGGCAUGGAGACAGCGCUGCAAUUCUGUAAGGCGUUGCAUUGUACUGGCAAAGGUGGAGAAUGCAGCCCUGGCAUUUAUGGUGCAUCAGCCCACGCAUGGUCACAGUGCCUGACGACGCAAAGAAGAAUUGCGGCUGUAAAAUUGCCCAUAGCAGCUGAGCAUCCACUUUGCCUUGCCUCAUCCUCAGGAUGCGGGGCGCUCUCUCAAGGAGCAGUUUCUCGCUGGUUUAACAGCCUGCAGGACCGCCCAGCUGCACGUUGCAGAGGACGCUUGGCUGUGAGAUCCCAGCCCCAUGCCUAAGGGGUGCGUGCACACAAAAAUGGGGCCACCUAAGCCAGAUACGGGCUAGAUGGGAGGGUGGGGGACAGCCCUCCAGAAGAAAGGAAGCUGUAAGUAGAGCUGCCUCCUUGCUUGGUGCCGCCUCCAAGAGCCCCCAGGGCAGUGGCACAGCCUGGCUGCAGCCCCCAGCAGACCCUUGGGGCACGGCCACAGAGGCUGCUGGAAAAUGAAACUUCAGCCCUGCUGGCAGCCACCCAAUUUCAACAAUUUUUUGUUUCGUUCUUGAAAGAAGGCAAAGGGGGAAGCUUUGUUUUCUCCCGGGCUUCUCAGAAAUGCUUAUUUGGGAAUGGGGCAUUUUCAAAUGUCAUAUUUGGAUGGAAAAUGCCUUAUCUAGUAAGAAUAGUUAAUCUUCCUCCAGUCUGAGAUGCCUGAAAACAUCCCACUUGGCUCUCCUCCAUGCAGCGGACGGCUGACUCCCAGCCCUGCUGCCACGUGCUCAGUGCAUGGGGGACAUGGGGAGUACGGGCUGGUUCCUCUAUGCCCAGAAGCACUUGGGAAGGGGCUUGUUCCUGUGCCGUGCUUUGAAAGUGGUGACCAAACCCUGUCAGCGUGUUCCUGAGACUGGGCUGCUGCCCCUCGUAUAACCACAAAUCUCCAUCCAGCCUCAUGCGGCACUGGUACCUGAGUGAGCAGGGAGCCCAAGAGCAACACCUGUGUCUGCUUCCAGGAGGGUCACUGAACUUCGAGGCUUUCAGCUCAAAACCCCCUGGUGGGAUGAGUGACUUGUGAAAGUGGGAUCACGCUGGCUACAAGAAUCCAUGCCGCAGAGCUCAGGACCAUGCAGGCAUCUCACUGUCCAGAAGUUCUGGAUGAAUUCAGCUCCUGACCUUCUCACCUUGGUUUGAAGUGGGAAUUGCUGUAUAGCUUGGUCUCUUACUCUUCUGACCCUCUAUGUUUUAUGCAUCUAGUAAUGUUAUUCCUUAAAAUAAUCUACUCACAGAGUAUGGCAUUUCCUAUAAUCAGAUAAUCUUGAUGGUAUAAAAAAAAUAAAAUGCUAAUAACUAAAACAGCAUCCAAAGAAAGGAUGCCUCAUCCAAAAACAUCUUCAUAAAAGGCAUAUCUUUAAAUCGAGAC
ensembl:lncRNA